GCAAACUUGGUCAUUUAGAGGAAGUAAAAGUCGUAACAAGGUAUCCUUUCCCCGGAAGCCUUGCACGCAAUAGUCCCUUCGGGGGGCAAGAGGAACAAUCUGGCUGGAACGACUUCCCUGGGGGGGUCUACCAGCAGCCACCUACGGGUGGUUCACAGACUAAAUGUGCCUCGCCGACCACCCACGUCGGUCCUGAUAUAGUCGAUUCCCAGUGAUCAUGCUCCGGGUGUCUACAGUUCCGUAGGUGAACCUGCGGAAGGAUCAUUACCAGAGAAUCGUGCCCGGUAGGUUCGCCUACCGGCGAGCACACUCUCCAUCCCUUGCUCAUUUACGUUGUUGCUUUGGCAGGAUCGUCCCCCGGGGCACCUGCCAAAGGUUCAAACCAACUCUGUCAUCUUGAUGCAGUCUGAAUACACAACAUAAUAGCCUAAAACUUUCAACAACGGAUCUCUUGGUUCUGGCAUCGAUGAAGAACGCAGC
rnacentral:misc_RNA from 1 species